GAGGGAGAGAGGGAGGGAGAGGGAGGGAGGUGUGUGUCGCGCUCAGGCUUGUUCCUGCAGCCUCAUUCCUGCCUCUUCCUCUCUGUUUGUUCCCUUCACUGCAGCAACCAGAACCUGAUCCGCUCUGCAGCUUCAGGGGAUUCAGUCCCUGCUGCAGCAGAAACCAGCGUCUGCAUGAAGUUUCAGGGUGUUUUCACACGAAGGAGGGACACCGCCUCCUUUGAAAUAACCCCACCAUCAUGGCAGCAGCUCCCACAGAGGAGCAGCUCAGAGCGGACAGCCCGUCGCUGAAAGAACCAACAAAGUUCUGCAAAGAUCAGCAGAGGACGGUCCAUGGGGCUGAGAUGCCUUCAGGGCUGAGAGACGCUUUGAAAUCUGCUCUGAUGAGAGAACGGGAGAGGAAGAGGAGAAGAAGAGGGUCUCCAUCAGCAUCAAACAGCAGCAGCAGAAGGACCUGGGCGUUAACCAGAACCUUCAGCCUGAAACGCUGCAGGAACAGAGAUCCACAGAGCCGAGCGUUUUUGUCCUGCACAGCGACGGCCGAUAAUCCUCCACACAAACAGAACUGCUGGGAAAUCAAGUCUGCCGCUGCUGAUGGAGCAGAACCGGCUCAUCUGGCUGAGCAGGGAGGAGAAUUCAGCUGACUGCAAGCUUUAACAUAAAGAGACAAUAAUAAACUUCUAAAGGCAAAAACCUGAAGUUUUGUUGAAAUAAAU